AUUGAACGCUGGCGGCAUGCCUUACACAUGCAAGUCGAACGGUAACAGGUCUUCGGAUGCUGACGAGUGGCGAACGGGGGAGUAAUACAUCGGAACGUGCCUAGUAGUGGGGGAUAACUACUCGAAAGAGCGGCUAAUACCGCAUGAGAUCUACGGAUGAAAGCAGGGGAUCGCAAGACCUUGUGCUACUAGCGCGGCCGAUGGCAGAUUAGGUAGUUGGUGGGAUAAAAGCUUACCAAGCCGACGAUCUGUAGUUGGUCUGAGAGGACGAUCAGCCACACUGGGACUGAGACACGGCCCAGACUCCUACGGGAGGCAGCAGUGGGGAAUUUUGGACAAUGGGCGAAAGCCUGAUCCAGCAAUGCCGCGUGCAGGAUGAAGGCCUUCGGGUCGUAAACUGCUUUUGUACGGAACGAAAAGCCCCGGGUUAAUACCCUGGGGUCAUGACGGUACCGUAAGAAUAAGCACCGGCUAACUACGUGCCAGCCGCCGCGGUAA
rnacentral:rRNA from 1 species